rnacentral:rRNA from 1 species
GACGAACGCUGGCGGCGUGCUUAACACAUGCCAGUCGAACGGAAAGGCCCUGCUUUUGUGGGGUGCCCGAGUGGCGAACGGGUGAGUAACACGUGAGUAACCUGCCCUUGACUUUGGGAUAACUCCAGGAAACUAGGGCUAAUACCGGAUAGGAGCUCCUGCUGCAUGGUGGGGGUUGGAAAGUUUCGGCGGUUGGGGAUGGACUCGCGGCUUAUCAGCUUGUUGGUGGGGUAGUGGCUUACCAAGGCUUUGACGGGUAGCCGGCCUGAGAGGGUGACCGGCCACAUUGGGACUGAGAUACGGCCCAGACUCCUACGGGAGGCAGCAGUGGGGAAUAUUGCACAAUGGGCGGAAGCCUGAUGCAGCAACGCCGCGUGCGGGAUGACGGCCUUCGGGUUGUAAACCGCUUUCGCCUGUGACGAAGCGUGAGUGACGGUAAUGGGUAAAGAAGCACCGGCUAACUACGUG